rnacentral:rRNA from 1 species
UACGAAGGGGGCUAGCGUUGCUCGGAAUCACUGGGCGUAAAGGGUGCGUAGGCGGGUCUUUAAGUCAGAGGUGAAAUCCUGGAGCUCAACUCCAGAACUGCCUUCGAUACUGGAUGUCUUGAGUUCGGGAGAGGUGAGUGGAAUGCCGAGUGUAGAGGUGAAAUUCGUAGAUAUUCGGAAGAACACCAGUGGCGAAGGCGGCUCACUGGUCCGGUACUGACGCUGAGGUGCGAAAGCGUGGGGAGCAAACAGG